rnacentral:rRNA from 1 species
UACCAGCUCUCCGAGUGGUAGGGAUGAUUAUUGGGCUUAAAGCGUCCGUAGCCGGCUUAGCAAGUCUCCUGUUAAACUCAGCGACCUAAUCGUUGAAUCGCGGGAGAUACUACUAGGCUAGGAGGCGGGAGAGGUCGACGGUACUUCUGGGGUAGGGGUGAAAUCCUAUAAUCCCGGGAGGACCACCAGUGGCGAAGGCUGUCGACUAGAACGCGCUCGACGGUGAGGGACGAAAGCUGGGGUAGCGAACCGGAUUAGAUACCCGGGUAGUCCCAGCUGUAAACGAUGCGGGCUAGGUGUUGGGAUGGCUACGGGCCAGUUUCAGUGCCGCAGGGAAGCCAUUAAGCCCCGCCGCCUGGGGAGUACGGCCGCAAGGCUGAAACUUAAGGAAUUGGCGGGGAGCACCACAAGGCGUGAAGCUUGCGGUUC